rnacentral:lncRNA from 1 species
CAGUCUUGGAGUGGUGCCUAGAGGCAUAUAGCUGAUCCCCUUGUCCCUAGUCACUGUCCAAGAGAAGAUUUUCCCUGAAGAAAUCAAUUCAUUCCCAGGGACAGCAGAAGACUUGAACCUCUCUCCCCCAGCUUCUGGAUGAGUGGGGUACCUGGGAAACAAGACACACGGCUCAGCUUUGGUCUUCUCAAUAGUUGGUGCUUGAGGGUGAGUGGCAACAGCUGGGAUAAGGAGAUUCCCAUCUGAAGUCUUUUGCAGGCAAUCUAGAGCUUUUCUUGAGUCUGAUAGGGUAAUUUGGUUCCAGGGUCUCACUUAUAGAGGCAUCUCUUAGAGAGAAGAGUUAGUGCCCUGGCUUUGAUGGGGAUAGUAGAGCAGGGCUUGGAGAGGGAGAGAAGGGAAACUAGCAUCCCAGAAUUCUGAGUCAAUUGUCCUAUUUCCCUGGUCAAAGCUUGCAGAAAGUCCUUUGGACCAGUUCUGCUACUAGCUCCAUGUGUGGUAUUAAGCAAGAGAGUUUCCACAUCUGGAAAAUGAGGUCAUGAGAUGAGAUGCUAACCGAGGUUCCUCUUAUGAAGGUUAAAAGGGACUUUAGAGGCUAUCUCCUCCAUUCCCCUUUAUUUACAGAUAAAAGCAGUGAAGGCCCAAUUGAAAAAGGUGGCAGAGAUUCAGGGAGCCAGAGAAGAUGCCGGAGAGAACUCAGGUUCCUGGCUUUGAUGUCCAGAGUGUUCUUCCUAACUGGAAAGGUUGGAGGAUCUUGGACUGGGACUGUGGCUUGGAGCUAUGACUUGGACCUGGGACUCUGGAUCUUGGACUGCUUCUGGUAAGACUACUCCUGGAACUUCUCCUUUGGAGCUUCAACUUGGGUGAGUGAAAAGCUGACCUUCCUUUCCUGGCUUCUGAAGAGAUUAGUUUCCGAGAGGCCUUCCCUUGCUUAAUUCACCAUUGAGCCCUCCGGCUGAAGCGUUAAUGAGCCCUGCAUGGGUUGAGCCAGAACCAGAGCAACAUUUAUGGUGAUAAACUAGACUUCUUACUCUACCCUCUUUUGUAUUUCUCUACUUUUAUUCUUUCUACCUCUUUGUAAAUAAAACUAUUGAAAGUCAAUUUGACUUGAGCCA